rnacentral:sRNA from 2 species
UACGUAGGGGGCAAGCGUUAUCCGGAAUUAUUGGGCGUAAAGAGUGCGUAGGUGGUUACCUAAGCAGGGGGUGAAAGGCAAUGGCUCAACCAUUGUUAGCCCCCUGAACUGGGCUACUUGAGUGCAGGAGAGGAAAGCGGAAUUCCUAGUGUAGCGGUGAAAUGCGUAGAUAUUAGGAGGAACACCAGUGGCGAAGGCGGCUUUCUGGACUGUAACUGACACUGAGGCACGAAAGUGUGGGGAGCAAACAGG